UACGUAGGGUGCAAGCGUUGUCCGGAAUUAUUGGGCGUAAAGAGCUCGUAGGCGGUUUGUCGCGUCUGCUGUGAAAACGCGAGGCUCAACCUCGCGCCUGCAGUGGGUACGGGCAGACUAGAGUGCGGUAGGGGAGAUUGGAAUUCCUGGUGUAGCGGUGGAAUGCGCAGAUAUCAGGAGGAACACCGAUGGCGAAGGCAGAUCUCUGGGCCGUAACUGACGCUGAGGAGCGAAAGCGUGGGGAGGCGAACAGG
rnacentral:rRNA from 1 species